rnacentral:lncRNA from 1 species
UCUUAAAGGAGUUCAAAAAAAGUCCACAAUAAAUUUUAAAAGAAUCCUUAAGAAAUCCUAAAAAUUAUUAAAAUAGUCAUAGUUAUAUCUUAAAUAAAUCUCAAUCAAGUUUUAAUUUAAUCCUAUUUGAAAUCCUAAUAGACUUUAAUUAAAUCCUAGAUAAAUCCUAAAUUCUAAAUCAAAUCGUAGAUAAACUUUAAAUCCUAAAUCAAAUCCUAGACAAAUCCUAAAUCCUAAAUCAAAUCCUAGAUAAAUUUUAAAUCUUGAAUCAAAUCCUAAAAAAAUCUUAAAUAUUAAAUUAAACUUUAAACAAACUUUAAACCUUAGAUCAAGCCUUGGACAAAUCCUAAAUCCUAAAUCAAAUCCUUAGACAAAUCCUAAAUCUUAGACCAAAUCCUAGACAAAUUCUAAACUCUAAACCAAAUCCUAAAAAAAUCCUAAAUCUUAAAUAAAAUCCUAUAUAAAUCCUAAACUCUAAAUCAAAUCUUGAACAAAUCUUAAAUCAUAAACCAAAUCCUAAAUCUUAGACCAAAUCCUUGAUAAAUCUUAUAUUUUAAAUCAGAUUCUAGACAAAUCUUAAACCCUAAAUUCUAAACCAAAUCUGAGACAAAUCCUAAAUCCUAAAUCAAAUCCUAAACAAACUCUGAAAAAUCUUAAAUCCUAAACCAAAUCUUUCAUAAAUCCUAAAUCCUAAAUCAAAUCCUAAAUCCUAAAUCAAAUCCUAAACAAAACUCAAACUUUAAAUUAAAUCCUAGACAAAUCCUAAAUUCUAAACCAAAUCCUAAAUAAUUCCUAAAUCUUAAACCAAAUUCUAGACAAACCUUAAAUCCUAAAUCAAAUCCAAGACAAAUCUUAAAUCCUAAAUCAAACCCUAAAAAAACCUUAAAUCUUAAGCCAAAUCCUAAACAAAUUCCAAAUCCUAAACCAAAUCCUAACCAAAUUCUAACCAACUCAAUCUAUUCUUAGUAUUGUUUAGAACCUCAAUAUCUAUUAAUUGAAUCAUUGAUCUUGCUUAAAAAUUUAUAUACUUCUCAACAACUAAGUUAACAACAAGCAUACAAAAUUUGAAGAUAAUUG